rnacentral:lncRNA from 1 species
AUCUUGUAGUCUAAGAGUGGGUAAAGCCCAAGAAAAGGUCUAAAAGAAGCUAUAUAGCAUAGAACACUUGUGAUCAGCACAUGCCACAUGUGAGACAUGCCUUCAGCACAUGCCUGGACCCUUACAUGUGUGGGAAGACUCAACUGCACAUGUGGGAUGGUUUCCCAUGUGAAGUAGCACGCGGAGUGUGCGAGCAACAAUUCCUAUGCCCUCAACGCAUGUAAGCAUGCACAGAGACAACACGCCACAUGCACACUCCAUGUUUAUGUGCGUAGUAGGCUAGAAACAUGCCCAACACUCAACAUGUGCGCGAAGGCGACCCAUGUACUCGACAUGUGCAUCUCGUGCAGUAUACACACAUUACCUGUACGUGAAGAGCAAGCUGGCCACGUAGCAACCUUUUCGUAAGUCCUUUUAGACUCCACUUCUUACUUUUCCAAGUCUCUAAGGAUUCUAAGACUUCUACAAAUUAUCCCAUGUGAUUAAAGUGCCAAAUUAAAGGAUAAAUUCAACUCAAAUUGGAAGUCUUAGGAAGAUCAAGCUAUUUGAAGAUUUGGGUAAGGAGAAAAGAAUAUUUUAUUAA